AUUGAACGCUGGCGGCAGGCUUAACACAUGCAAGUCGAGCGAGCGGCGGACGGGUGAGUAAUGACUGGGAAAAUGCCUUAUGGAGGGGGAUAACUACUGGAAACGGUAGCUAAUACCGCAUACCAUCAGAUGUGCCCAGAUGGGAUUAGCUAGCCGGUGGGGUAGUGGCUCACCUAGGUGACGAUCCCUAGCUGGACUGAGAGGAUGACCAGCCACCCUGGAACUGAGACAGGGUCCAAACUCCUACGGGAGGGAGCAGUGGGGAAUAUUGCACAAUGGGCGCAGACCUGAUGCAGCCAUGCCGAGUGUGUGAAGAAGGACUUCGGGUUGUAAAGCACUUUCAGUGAGGAGGCGUUACUCGCAGAAGAAGCACCGGCUAAAUCCGUGCCAGCAGCCGCGGUAAUUC
rnacentral:rRNA from 1 species